rnacentral:rRNA from 1 species
AACGAACGCUGGCGGCAGGCCUAACACAUGCAAGUCGAACGCCCUAGCAAUAGGGAGUGGCAGACGGGUGAGUAACACGUGGGAACCUUCCCUAUAGUACGGAAUAGCCCAGGGAAACUUGGAGUAAUACCGUAUACGCCCGAAAGGGGAAAGAUUUAUCGCUAUAGGAUGGGCCCGCGUAGGAUUAGCUAGUUGGUGAGGUAAUGGCUCACCAAGGCGACGAUCCUUAGCUGGUUUGAGAGAACGACCAGCCACACUGGGACUGAGACACGGCCCAGACUCCUACGGGAGGCAGCAGUGGGGAAUAUUGGACAAUGGGCGCAAGCCUGAUCCAGCCAUGCCGCGUGAGUGAUGAAGGCCUUAGGGUUGUAAAGCUCUUUUGCCGGGACGAUAAUGACGGUACCCGGAGAAUAAGUCCCGGCUAACUUCGUGCCAGCCGCCGCAGUAAC